GGCAGUAUAGCUUAGUGGUAAAGUGUAUGCAUAGCAUGCAUGAGGUCCUGGGUUCAAUCUCCAGUACAGUCA
rnacentral:tRNA from 1 species